rnacentral:rRNA from 1 species
GUGGGGAAUAUUGGGCAAUGGGCGAAAGCCUGACCCAGCAACGCCGCGUGAAGGAAGAAGGUCUUCGGAUCGUAAACUUCUAUCCUUGGUGAAGAUAAUGACGGUAGCCGAGAAGGAAGCCCCGGCUAACUACGUGCCAGCAGCCGCGGUAAUACGUAGGGGGCAAGCGUUGUCCGGAAUGAUUGGGCGUAAAGGGCGCGUAGGCGGCCUGGUAAGUCUGGAGUGAAAGUCCUGCUUUUAAGGUGGGAAUUGCUUUGGAUACUGUCGGGCUUGAGUGCAGGAGAGGUAAGCGGAAUUCCCGGUGUAGCGGUGAAAUGCGUAGAGAUCGGGAGGAACACCAGUGGCGAAGGCGGCUUACUGGACUGUAACUGACGCUGAGGCGCGAAAGUGUGGGGAGCAAACAGGAUUAGAAACCCCAGUAGUCC